CUCUGAGGAACCUCAAGGGAGGAUAAGUGGGGAUGAGGAAAAUGUCAUUUUUAUUGAUGCUUUUGAGAAGGAGCCUUUUCCUCCAUGAUCCCUCAGAGGAAGGACACUGCUGGCACCACACCAUUCCUUGGUGUUUGGGAAAGUUGGAAUGACAGUUCUUCCCCUGCAAGGUUUGCCACUCCAAGCAGAGUGUGGGCUCCUCAUGGAUUCAAGGACUGCCAUUAAAGGAUUGUUGCAAACUUAUUUUUGAAGUGCCUCCUCUGAAGGAACUGAACUGCCACUUAGUGUGCUCUCAGAAGGAACCUGCUUUUCCAUGUGGAAGGAUUCUGUAUUUGCUGCUAAUCGUGGAGCCCAUUUCCCAAAGCUGGAGGAGUUUUGCUAGGAAAAGGCAGUACAAAG